rnacentral:rRNA from 1 species
AGUGAACGCUGGCGGUAGGCCUAACACAUGCAAGUCGAACGGCAGCACAGUAAUAGCUUGCUCUUACGGGUGGCGAGUGGCGGACGGGUGAGGAAUACAUCGGAAUCUACUUUUUCGUGGGGGAUAACGUAGGGAAACUUACGCUAAUACCGCAUACGACCUACGGGUGAAAUCAGGGGAUCUUCGGACCUUGCGCGAUUGAAUGAGCCGAUGUCGGAUUAGCUAGUUGGCGGGGUAAAGGCCCACCAAGGCGACGAUCCGUAGCUGGUCUGAGAGGAUGAUCAGCCACACUGGAACUGAGACACGGUCCAGACUCCUACGGGAGGCAGCAGUGGGGAAUAUUGGACAAUGGGCGCAAGCCUGAUCCAGCCAUACCGCGUGGGUGAAGAAGGCCUUCGGGUUGUAAAGCCCUUUUGUUGGGAAAGAAAAGCAGCAGGUUAAUACCCCGCUGUUCUGACGGUACCCAAAGAAUAAGCACCGGCUAACUUCGUG